rnacentral:tRNA from 37 species
GGUCCCGUAGCUCAGCUGGAUAGAGCACCGGCCUUCUAAGCCGUAGGUCGCAGGUUCGAAUCCUGCCGGGAUCGCCA